CCGACGGUGAGGGGCGAAAGCUGGGGGCACGAACCGGAUUAGAUACCCGGGUAGUCCCAGCCGUAAACGAUGCUCGCUAGGUGACUGGGAUGGUGCGACCGUUUCAGGUGCCGCAGGGAAGCCGUGAAGCGAGCCACCUGGGAAGUACGGCCGCAAGGCUGAAACUUAAAGGAAUUGGCGGGGGAGCACUACAACGGGUGGAGCCUGCGGUUUAAUAGGACUCAACGCCGGAAAACUCACCUGGGGC
rnacentral:rRNA from 1 species